rnacentral:lncRNA from 1 species
CUCUUAUCCCUACCUUAAUUAAUCAAAAUUUGUCUCACAUAAUCAUAGCUAGUGACAUAUACCUUACUAAGAUUCUCUAAGAACAAUGCAUUUUAGGAGUUUUGUUUCACCUGUGAUAACUUGGCAUACAAUAUGUAUAUUGACAUUGAUAAUAUAUAACUCACCAAAAUGUGAGUUUGUGAAAUAUCUCUUCAAAUAGCUAGCUUAUUUAAAGAUAUAAUUUCAAAAAUUAGAUAGAAGUGAUUAUGAAAUAGUGAAAGUAUAUAUAUU